GUCAGGUCCUGCAGCCUCAAGUUACAGAGCAUAUACAAGUCAUUCCUGCCAGAAGCCAACAGAGUGACAGAAUCUCUUAAAACUCUCUUCUGUCGUCCUGUUUCUGUGCGCAUUCUUAGAAAUACUGGGGAGCCACGAUUUGAACCCAGGGCCACACGUGUAACCACUGAGCCACUGCGGUCGACUGUGGCUUCCCCCUUCCUUUCCAGUGACCCCUGCCCAAUGCUCAGAUGGCAGGAAAGGAAGGACACAGGGUCUUCAGCAAAGUAUCACAAGUGAUUCCAGACAGUCUGGGGCAGAUGCCAAAGAUAAAAGACGCUGGCUCACUUCGUGUGCAGGUGACACAGAAAAGCCAUGCUGAUUUCUCUGGACAGAGGGAGGUGCUCACAGGCUGUGCAGGUGGCCGUGGAGGACGCUUUCAGCUUUCUCAGCAAUACACUUUGCUCUGUAUUUUGAAAUCCAGGUGGUCGAGAUAUCCAGUCUGACGGAGCACUUGCUGACGGAAUGUGACAAGAAAGACGGGUUUGGAAAGUGUUUCCGUUGCAGCGAGGCGGUUUUGAAGGAAGAGCUGCCCAGACACAUAAAGAACAAGGGUUGCAGCCCUGCCAAACCAGAGAAGCUGGCAAACCGGUGUCCUCUGUGCCAUGAGAACUUCACCCCUGGAGAAGAGGUGAGGGG